rnacentral:rRNA from 1 species
ACAGCAGUAGCCGCGGGAAUACGAAGGGGGCUAGCGUUGCUCGGAAUCACUGGGCGUAAAGGGUGCGUAGGCGGGUCUUUAAGUCAGAGGUGAAAUCCUGGAGCUCAACUCCAGAACUGCCUUUGAUACUGAGGAUCUUGAGUUCGGGAGAGGUGAGUGGAACUGCGAGUGUAGAGGUGAAAUUCGUAGAUAUCGAUCGGAACACCCAUGGCGAAGGCAGCUCGCUGGCCUAACACUGACGCUGAGGCGCGAAAGCGUGGGGAGCAAACAGGAUUAGAUACCCCCGUAGUCCCUGUCUCUUAUAA